AAUGAUGGACCAUGAUGACAUGGCACCAGUGGAAUAUAUUAUUUCUCCAUUUUCACUGUCCAUUGAUGUAAAAAUCAGCUUCUCAAAGCCAUUUAAAAGGGUUAAGCUGAACACACUGUGGCCAUAGGUAGAAGAUUGAGUGGUCAGUAAAGGAAGGCUACAUGGUGACUUUAUUUCUCUUGCCCAGGAGAUAAAGAUGAGUGCAGUGAAUGUUCUGUGUUCCCCUUUUUUUUGGCUAUCUGGACUGUGGAUUGAGGCAUGCAGGAGUAAACAAGCCUACCUGUUUGGUUGCUCAUUCCUUGCAGGAUGUGUGUGGAGGACAGCUCAUCCACUGGCCUAACUGCCUGAGCCAGCACAAAGGAUGACAGCCAAACUCAAGAGCAACAUCCACAGUUCUGCUUGCAUUAUGCCAGAAAAAAAUGGUUUUGAAGGACCUCAGCUUGAUCCAGCGCUAAUCCAAAAUACUGCACGAUGCUGAAGAAAUGAGGAAGGUGGGCUGAUGAGGACAAGGUGAGCUCUGAGAAGAAUUGAUUCUACCCUUGCUCUGCUGCAGAACCUCAUCACCUUAAUAUUGCAGAAGUUCAUCUGCAUCCUGCAGUGCUGGUGUCCUGCUAGGAAAUGAGAAGCAGUUCCCUCAAUAAGACCCACAGUGCUCCCCGACAGAAGACAGUGACAUGAUAGGAGUGGUGACACAAGGCUCUUACUGUUGCAUUCAAUAAUUGAUUCUCCUGGAUGGAUUGUGACUCCCUAAAGGUUGCAAAGAGAGAAAGAGUUGAAUUGUCCUGCUACUUACCAAGAGAAGAAAAACAACAUGAGAGUUUGGUGAAUGGGCAUGCUUUGGAUUCACAUUGGAUCCUGGAAGCAGAAUUGUCCCCUGUGGAUGUAGAAGUAUCAUGGUAACUCUCCUCAGGUACUCUGAUUUCGUUAUCUGACUUGUUAGGAGUGAACAUGGCCCUUAAGGACUCCUCUAUUUUUGGACAGUUGUCAAUUUUACCAAUUAAAAGAACGCCUUUGGAUGGUUAUCAGAAGCUGGAGCUGAAAACAUGUUUGCAAUUACUGAUGACAUAGCUGUUUCUAUUUGC